ACCUUGGUAGCUCAAUCGGUAGAGCAUGAGACUCAUACAGUGCUUCUGACCACUUACGGCUGCGGGUUCGACUCCGGCAUGAGGCU